rnacentral:rRNA from 1 species
GCGGGAAUUCGAUUGGCGGACGGGUGAGUAAUAUAUAGGUAACGUGCCCUAGAGAAGAGGAUAACAGUUGGAAACGACUGCUAAGACUCUAUAUGCCUUUAAGACAAAAGUCUGCAAGGGAAAUAUUUAUAGCUCUAGGAUCGGCCUGUACGGUAUCAGUUAGUUGGUGAGGUAAUGGUUCACCAAGACAAUGACGCCUAACUGGUUUGAGAGGAUGAUCAGUCACACUGGAACUGAGACACGGUCCAGACUCCUACGGGAGGCAGCAGUGGGGAAUAUUGCACAAUGGGGGAAACCCUGAUGCAGCAACGCCGCGUGGAGGAUGACACAUUUCGGUGCGUAAACUCCUUUUAUAUAGGAAGAUAAUGACGGUACUAUAUGAAUAAGCGCCGGCUAACUCCGUGCCAGCAGCCGCGGUAAUACGGAGGGCGCAAGCGUUACUCGGAAUCACUGGGCGUAAAGAGCGUGUAGGCGGGUUAAUAAGUCAGAUGUGAAAGCCUAUGGCUCAACCAUAGAACUGCAUUUGAAACUGUUAACCUAGAAUAUGGGAGAGGUAGAUGGAAUUUCUGGUGUAGGGGUAAAAUCCGUAGAGAUCAGAAGGAAUACCGAUUGCGAAGGCGAUCUACUGGAACAUUAUUGACGCUGAGACGCGAAAGCGUGGGGAGCAAACAGGAUUAGAUACCCUGGUAGUCCACGCCCUA